CUUGCGGAAUGGGUGAGUGGUCAGAAUUCCUUGCGGAAUGGGUGAGAGAGGACAGAAUUCCUUCGAGAGUAGGUGGGUAGUGUCAGAAUUCCUUUGGGAGAAGGUGAAAGUGGUUCAAAUUUCCUUUAGGAGCAAGUGUGGGUGGUCAUAAACUCCUGUAGGACCGGGUGGGAGUGGGACUUUAAAAAAAAACCCUGCACACCUCUUCUCCAUCGUGCAAAUUUUGCAUCCCUCUGCACCCAAGACUCGCCAUCCAAAGUUGGAAGUAACAUGUAUGAAGUAUGGUGUUUUUCAGAGACUAACCACAUCUACAUUUGGGUUAAAGCUAAAUGUGCAUAAAUGAAAUGUUUAGCUGAAGACUUAGAGUCUUAACAUGCAAUAACUGCCCUCUCCUACUAAAAUACGUCAUUAGAAACACAUGAAAUAUGUUCAUUAGCUUAAAAAUCCUUAAUAUUUGAUACAUAUUUUAACGUACGGAGGCCGCCAUUACGUGACAUGGGCAAUGGUUGCACUCGAGCACUCAAAAG
ensembl:lncRNA